AGCAGGGCUUGGGAAUACUGUCCAGAAACUUCCUUCUUCAGGUCGAGGGUCAGCUUCUUCUCUGUUUCUUCCAAAUAGACCUCGCAGAAAGC